AAGAGACGUUGCCCUUCGGGGUCGACCUCCCACCCUAUGUUUAUCAUACCUCUGUUGCUUUGGCAGGCCCGUCCUCGGACCGCCGGCUCCGGCCGGCCCGUGCCUGCCAGGGAACCUAAAACUCUGAAUUAUAAUGCCGUCUGAGUACUAUAUAAUAGUUA
rnacentral:misc_RNA from 1 species